rnacentral:rRNA from 1 species
UACGUAGGGUGCGAGCGUUGUCCGGAAUUAUUGGGCGUAAAGGGCUCGUAGGCGGUCCAUCGCGUCGGGGAGUGAAAAGCUGGGGCUUAACCCCAGUCCUGCUUCCGAUACGGGUGGACUAGAGGUAGGUAGGGGGAGAACGGAAUUCCUGGUGUAGCGGUGAAAUGCGCAGAUAUCAGGAGGAACACCGGUGGCGAAGGCGGUUCUCUGGGACGGUACUGACGCUGAGACGCGAAAGCGUGGGGAGCGAACAGG